GGGGGUGAAUUGGAUUCGACGGGGAUGUUGAAGUGAAGAUGGCAGGCGGAGUUUGUCGCACACUCCUAAAACGGCGGCACAGCACUACAAGUGCCAAUCAAACAGCUUUUGCUGCUUCUCUAAACUAAGAGGAGCUGUUCGCAUAGAAACCUCUGCCUAUAGGCUCUACGCGGACAUCGAAUAAAUAGGCUGGCCUGUCAGAGUGCCCCUGGCUGACGGGUGAGAUCAAAGGGGAUCGGGCAUCCGAAUCUUGUCUGGUGGGAGCCGGACGCCUCAGCACAAAUCACUAGACUAAGCCUGUAGAAGUCCAGCGGAUUCAUCUUCGGACCCGGGUUCAAAUCCCGGCACCUCCACCA
rnacentral:tmRNA from 1 species